GCUGGGCAUGGUGGCGGGUGCCUGGAAUCCCAGCUACUCAGGAGGCUGAGGCGGGAGAAUUGCUUGAACUCGGGAGGUGGAGGUUGCAGUGAGCCAAGAUCGUGCCACUGCACUCUAGCCUGGGUGACAGAGCAAGACUCCGUCUCGC
rnacentral:SRP_RNA from 1 species